GCACACAGCCAGCACUCGUUGAGGUUUGCACAUGUUUGCACCCCACUCUUUCUGGCAGCCCAGGCGUCCCCUCUUUCUGAGCUGUAUUCUGUGGAGGUUGCUCUGCUAAGGAGCUGGGUGGUGGCGCAGUCAUUUUGCUGAUCUGAUGCUUCUCCCACACCCGUAAGUGGGAGUGGAGCAGGGCGUGUGGGUCCGGCUGCUGCCUCUGCCUCGGCACUUCAGAGACGGUCAUCUGCUCCUGUUCUUGCCGUUCGCGGGGUCUGCCUCCAGCAAGUUCUCCUUCAGCAUUCUGAGUGUACCACGGGACAGCUAGGUUGGUCUUGCACUCCUGAGUUCAAGCGGUCCACCCGUCUUGGCCUUCCAUGUGAUGGGAUUACAGGCGUGAGCCACCUCGCUCGGCCUGGAUACACCAGGUUCGCCCAGCCGCCUCGCCCGGCCUGGAUACACCAGGUUCGCCCAGCCGCCUCGCCAGGCCUGGAUACACCA
rnacentral:lncRNA from 10 species